CUAGCACCAUUUGAAAUCGGUUA
rnacentral:miRNA from 1 species